CAGGCACACAUCGGAUCCAGUUUGCUUGGUGGUUUUGGUGUGCACCUUUUGGUGCUCCAGCACUGUUCGGCAAGGAUUCGUGAUGUCUUUUGAGCUACUUUCUUCCAUUGAAGCACUUCAAGCUUCAUAGCUAUUACGGUCACUUCCAUUCUUUUCUUCAAUUUCUGACUUGCCAAACAUCAAUUGCCUUCGCUGAAUGCAAAUUAUUCUGCCGAAAGCUAUCUUGCCAUGCCAUCAACUUCCAUUUUCGUGUGUUUUCGGACAAUCUGGAGCUGGUCUUCAAUCCGCCAAGAAGCUCGAUAAGGAACCCGCCACAUCUGCAGUCGUCGAUUAGAUUGGUUUGCCACAUUCAUCCAUUUUUUCUUUUCUCCUUUUCAAUUUCCUUUUCUCCAAUUUUCUAGUAGCUUUCACAUCUAUUGAGUAGUUGAGUUCAGAAAAUGUUGUGCUUUGAGUGCUUUCAUGCUCGAGCUACACUUCCGGUCAUACGGUGGACCAUAUGGAGGUUCAAUUGAGUUGGUUAGCACUCAUCUCACCAUUAGAAUCAGCUUCUCGGUAUUAUUCUUUUUUUGCCUGAGACUGAGAAAUUUCAAAAUCAACACAAAAUAAGUUUUGCAUCAUUUCUAACUGUGAGCCAUCUGAACGCUGGCAUCCCAACGCACACUUCCGGUCAUACGGUGGACCAAAUGGAGGUUCCCUUUGGGUGGCCAGCGUUCAUAUCGCUACUACCAAAAUUUUCGAACUUUUUUGAAAGGAUUAUUUCAAAAAAUUGUAAUUUUGUUAAUUAUUUAUCAAGUUAAAAGAUUGGGUUUGGACACAGAAGAGACCCUUGCUUCCGGUCAUACGGUGGACCAAAUGGAAGUUGGUCAUAAUGCUUCUGUGCCCAUUCUUCAUCGCUACUUGAAGUACUUCACAAAAUUACAAUCAAUUUGAAUUUUCCGAGUUGGUUUUUUGAUUUUUCUUGCUCUCGGAAGACUAUUUCAUAAUUCUAAGUCAUUGAUUUAGCUUCUCUAUACUUUAAUUGGCCUUUUUCUAGGUUUUGUAAAUUUGACAGGUUUCAUGAGAAUACUCUAGCUACUAUUGUUAGUCAGUGCGCCAAGCGCAUUUCGACAAAAUAUCUUGACAAUUAGCCAGUGAAUUCUCUUGAAUUCUUUUGCCCCUGCUUUCGUGUCAAAAUUGUCCGAAAAUGUACAAAAAAAAUUGACAAAAUUUGCCUCCGAAAAUUUCUCAGGCAGUUGAUCUGCACAAAAAAACUUCAAAAUGUUCUCAUUUUUCUUCCUUUUUUUGCCUUCAAUUGUUGUCACUAUGACACAAAUUUAACUUAUCGGUUCUUCUUUCAAAUGCUUUGUUGUUUCAUUUUUCUUUUUUCUCCUAUCAUUUGAUUGUACCAGUGUUGCUAAUUUGUUUGUAUAUUAUUACUGGUUUCUUAUUCUAAUUAAUAUGAGAAUAUUGAAAAAACAAAAAAAAGUGUUCACAAAAAAACGAGUAAAUAAAUGAUUUUUCAAUUCUACACAA
ensembl:ncRNA W05H9.3 ncRNA